ensembl:lncRNA
CAUGGUUCCGCAUACUCGUUUGCGUUUAACAUAGUUUGGUAGCACGCUAUAUAUUGUUUUUGACACUUAGUGGUACUACAGUAUUUGUAUUUAGAGGAAGUUUUCUCCGUAAAACCGCUAAUGAGAGUGACAUUUCUGGGAAUCGGUCCUCUAGGUCGAACAAGUUUGAUGGCAGAAACAAAACCCAAGAACCUCUGGGAACUGAAGAAGCCUGAAUGUUCACUUCAGGUUCGCAUUCAGGAACAUGACUUGUUGCGCCUCGGAGGGAGACAGACGGCUGCGCCUCUCUGAAAUGAUCAGCCCCAUCUUGCUGAAC